rnacentral:rRNA from 1 species
AUUGAACGCUGGCGGCAUGCUUUACACAUGUAAGUCGAACGGCAGCACGGGCUUCGGCCUGGUGGCGAGUGGCGAACGGGUGAGUAAUAUAUCGGAACGUACCCAGAAGUGGGGGAUAACGUAGCGAAAGUUACGCUAAUACCGCAUACGAUCUAUGGAUGAAAGCAGGGGACCGCAAGGCCUUGUGCUCCUGGAGCGGCCGAUAUCUGAUUAGCUAGUUGGUGAGGUAAAGGCUCACCAAGGCGACGAUCAGUAGCUGGUCUGAGAGGACGACCAGCCACACUGGAACUGAGACACGGUCCAGAGUCCUACGGGAGGCAGCAGUGGGGAAUUUUGGACAAUGGGCGCAAGCCUGAUCCAGCAAUGCCGCGUGAGUGAAGAAGGCCUUCGGGUUGUAAAGCUCUUUUGUCAGGGAAGAAACGGUAGAGGCUAAUAUCCUUUGCUAAUGACGGUACCUGAAGAAUAAGCACCGGCUAACUACGUG